AGGCAAGCCACCCAGAACUCCUUAGGUCAACCAAACUAAGAAAGCAUGUUGCUACCUUAUGCCAGCUCCUGGACCUUGAUAAUCAAGAGCUGGAACAAGUAGCUCGUUUUAUGGGACAUGACAUAAGAGUCCAUUGCGAUUAUUACCGCCAAACUGACAAAACAUUUCAGGUAGCCAAGAUUGGGAAACUACUGUUUGCAAUGGAGCAUGGAGCAAAGGCGCUUAAAGGGAAGAAUCUGAAGACACUGGACUCAGUUGUCUUUGGACAUGAAGCCACCUCAACCAAAGGCUUGAGAGGAGUCAAAGAGAGAGGGACAUCAAAUGUAGACAGACGACUGGAAGCUAAUGAUGAUGGAGAACAGCCACACCUGUCAACCACAAGCUCACCUGUCAAGAGGCCAAAGAAGACUGCAACUAAAAGAAGGCAUGAUGAGAGUGAUGAUGAGAGUGAUGAUGAUGGGUGUGGAGAGAAGCGACCCUCGACCGCAACAAGACCACCUGUUGAGAGGAGAAAGAAGACUAAACGAAACUAUGAUGAAUAUUAUGAUUGGGCUUUCUCAGAUGGAGAGGAGCUACUAAUCACAACACCCCCUGUUAAGGGGCGAAAGAAGACUGCAACUAACAGAGGACGUAAUGAUGAUGAUGCUCCAAAAACACAAUUAAAGAGACCCUGGACUGACCAGGAGAGGACUGCAGUCGGGCGAAGCAUGGCAAAGUUCAUCUCGCUAAGGAGGGUGCCAGCAAAGACAGACUGCAUGCUUUGUAUUGCGAAAGAGUCUCCAGUCCUUAGCGAUCGAACAUGGAAAGAUGUUAAAUAUUAUGUCCACAAUGCAAUACUUAAAAUCAAGAGAAAGCUUGCAUUUUAAAGGAGACCUGUUAUGUUCAGUGUCAGCCAAGUUCUGUUGCUGAGCCUACAAGCAAGGCAGCACAGCCAUUAGGAGGAGGUAGGGUGAAUGGGAAAGAGGGAUGGAGGGAUAAAAGAGGCAGGGAAUUGGGAUGAGAGGAAGAAGGUGGAGAGAGAGACAGGGGGAGACGGGUAGAAAAAGAGACAGGUAGAGGGAGGGAGGCAGAUAGAAAAAGAGAGGUAGAGGGAAGUAGAAAAAGAGAGACAGGUAGAAAGAGAGAGACAG
ensembl:lncRNA